rnacentral:rRNA from 1 species
GUGGUUUUGGAUGGACUCGCGGCCUAUCAGCUUGUUGGUGGGGUAAUGGCCUACCAAGGCGACGACGGGUAGCCGGCCUGAGAGGGUGACCGGCCACACUGGGACUGAGACACGGCCCAG